rnacentral:lncRNA from 1 species
GUGGAUUGCUCGUUUUCUUCUUCACCUUCGUCUUCUUUUGGUCAUUCCUGGAAGGACCCACAAGAGAGACAGUUGCAUAAGGGUCACAAUUCUGUCCGUUUAUAAGAGGCAACCCAUGGCACUCCUUUAUGUGUACUACUAGUUGCUGGCACACAGAUCCAUUAUCUGUUAUCAGUUCAUUCAGUUUUAAUUCAAGGUGAACUUUUCCCUGAACCUCUGAGUUAGAAUCAACAGGUUGAAGCGUAAACCAGUUCUCUUUCCCUGUAUAGUUGCAUAAAUCUUCUUUUUUGAUUGCCACCUUUCCUAUACGCAGGUCUUUUUGUAGAACACUUUUAUCAUAAAUGUAGAAGGACAACCACUGGAACGUUCUUGGAAUCUCAAAGUAAAACUCUUCCCCAAAAUAAGGGCUUAAAGAUUUUUCAACUACCUGCGUACGAAAAACUUCUUCUUGGUCCAAAUUUAUGGUACAAAAAAAGUCUCUCAUCUUGUUGGGUAUCAAAUGUUUGGCAUCAUAAAUCUUGCCCCGGAGGCUCUGCAGCACCCGCACCUCGUCGCCGCCGUCCUGGGCCGCCAUCGCGCCAGCGCCG